GUCUACCAAUUUCGCCAUAUCCCCCCUCUUUUUAGAUUGUGAUCUCAUUCUCACUAGGAUUUUUUUCAGUUAAAUUAUGAGAAUUAUUCCAGAACUGUUGAAUGGAUUCGAUACUGAUUCCUAUAUUGAAAGAUGUUUCCUCCGAUUUUAUUUAUUCUCGUUCAUCGAUAUUGGAUAUUCAUAUUUGGUAGAAUCUAACUAAAAUGAUUCUAUUAUUUCUGUAUUCGCAAUUCAAUAUACCUAGAAAUAUACCACAUAUCUAUCCUUUUUAUAUGUCCCUGCCCUAUUAUUUUUUCAUGCAAUUUGGAAUACUCGAACGGUCGAUUCUUUUUUUUUUUUAAUCCAUUUAUUAAUUUAGAAUAGAAAUCGAUGUAUUAUACAUAUUUCAUCUUAAUGUAUAAGAAUAGUGUAAUAUAAAUUACUGUUUACUGUAAUCCAAUUCUUCAUUAUUCGAAAUUCUAAGAAAUUCGAACGUUUUUUUUUCUAAUUCGAAUAUUAUAAAAAAAUUCGAAAUGAAAUAAUAUAAAUAAUAUUAUAUAAAUAGAAGAUACUCUAAUAUAAAUAUAAAAUACAGUAACUAACUAAGAUCCCGUUAGUAGCUUAGCUUAAAAAAUUCCUAUGUACGCGGAAUUUUGGCUUUGUGAGCCCGCUUAGCUCAGAGGUUAGAGCAUCGCAUUUGUAAUGCGAUGGUCAUCGGUUCGAUUCCGAUAGCCGGCUU